rnacentral:lncRNA from 1 species
AUGGAUCUGCCCUGGCAGAUUCCCACUGUUCUUCCCUGGGAUCUGCCGAUGGAGCUACUCCCCCCUCUCUGCUGUUCCACUACCAGCUCUCCCAAGUUUCCCUGGAGAAAGAAACCAGGAUGCUCCUUAAGCAAAGGAUCUGUGCCCAGGACACCUGAUGGAGCAUCGUGGAUGAGGGAGGAUCCCACCAAAGCUCCUUUCACACUGAGAGCCCCAAGCAGCCAUCAGAUUCCCCAGAGGGUGCAGCACUGCCCGAGGCAGCUCCAGUUCCAUCAGCAGUGUAUCCCUGAGGAAAUGAAGGGGAUGGGCCAGUGAUCUCAGUUGCUCUCUUGGAACCAUUAUUGUUGAACUGGUAAAUAUUUCCUUUUAAAUGCUUACAUGCUUUCAAAAAAUUUGCAGGGCUUAGUGGGAACAAAUAUUCCCAGGGGGCUGUAUCCUGCCAUUCAUUUGCACAUCAGAUCCCUGCUAUCUUUAAGAAUGGUUCUGUGCAUGGGCAGGCGCCUAAGUCAUUUGAGAAACAAUAACCCUCUGUGCUCUAAUUUUCCAGACAAAAAUGUAGACAAAACAAGUGGCAAUUUGGCACAAACCGAGCCACUUUGAUAAAUAACCGGGCAUUUAAGAGGAGAAGUGUGUAGGCAGCUGGGCUCGGGCUGCCCGAGCUGUCCCAGGGCAGGUGCUGGGCAGCCGGAGCUGAGCCCUGGGUGUCACCCUGGAGAUUCCCUCUGCAGCUGGGGGGCUUCCAGGGAAUUCUCUAAGCAUCCUUUGGGAUUUGCUGGAAAGCUGGCGGUUCAUCACCGGCUCCUGCAGGAUUUUGGGAUGAGCUCAGGGCGAUUAGCGGGCACGGCGGGAGGGUCAGGACCAGGUCUCUAACCUAGGGAGCGCUGAUGUCUCCUAAAACCCUCUGUGCUCGUGGUGGGGAGUGCGGACCACGACAGGAAUUUUUAGUAAAGAGAAUUAAUUCUGCCCUGGCCACUGCACUGGUGAGGGACCAUUCCCCGGGAGAGUCCGAACACCCCUGGGCGAGGGGGUG